UGUGUUCCUAUUACACAAUGAAAUCAAUCAAAUUCAGAUUAUCACUCUUAUUCAUGUUACUAGCCUCUAAAUCCUUCAUUGCAGAAUCAAAAUGUACCAAAACUUGUGACUUAGCUUUAGCUUCCUACAAUAUACAAAAAGAUUCAAACUUAACAUAUAUUUCAUCCAUCAUGAAAUCCAAGGUUGUUUCAAAACCUGAAGAUAUUUUCAGCUACAACACUGACACAUUACAAAGUCCAGAUAUUUUCCUAGUAGAUUCAAGAGUGAAUGUUCCCUUUUCUUGUGAUUGCAUCAAUGACGAGUUUCUUGGUCACACUUUUCUAUAUGAGAUUUACCCAGGAGAUACCUAUGCUUCAAUUGCAGAAUUCACUUUUAACAAUUUGACCACUAAGGAGAGCAUCGAAAGAGACAACGAUUAUAGUCCAGAUAAUAUUCCGGUUGAUGGAACACUUAAUGUUACUGUUAACUGUUCAUGUGGGAAAAGAGAGGUUUCUAAGGAUUAUGGUUUGUUCAUCACAUACCCUCUUAGUCCUAAGUGUUAGUUAAUGUGCUGCUUUUAUGUUAGUGGAAUAUGAUAAAGUAGUGGAAAUUAUUUAGUGUAAGUGAAGAGUUGUCAAUGUCAAUAGUGGAAGCACUUAGUGCUUAGUGGAGUGUUUAAUCAUUGAUUAAGCACCUAGUAGUGGUGACUCUUUGAUAGUUGUAAUCAUCACUACUAAUGCUAUAUAUAUUCAUGUGUAUGAGAUGCAUUUGAUAUAAGAAAAAAUAUUAUCCUACUCUAAAUUAUGCAACAAUAUAGUUUAUAAUAUAUACCACACCUCUAGAAUACCACCAACACUAAAGGACACUUUGGAGUCUAUUGCAAAGGAUACUAAUAUUGAUGCUGAGUUGCUUCAGAGGUACAACCCUGAUGUGAAUUUCAGCCAAGGAACUGGUCUUGUUUUUAUUCCUGGAAAAGGUUAGAUUUUUAUUUUUCUGUCAUGGUUUAGUUUUCUGAUAAUGGAAAUUUUAUACUUGUUCAGGUUUUCAAUUUGUACAAAAGGGUAUUAUUAUGUUGGUCAAUUAUUUUGAUUUUAGUAAAAAACAAUUGGUCUUGGCAUUUUGUUUUCCAUUUUAAUUUAGAGUUCGGUUAAGAGGUGUAAAGUUUGGCAACAAAUUGAAAUUGGUAAAGUUUGGUUAUUAUAUGUAAUUCCUUAAUAUGUGACCUAAAUAUUUUCAUUAUCUAAUUUAUGCUACAGGUAGAAUGCUCAUUUUAGUUAUUAACUUGACAUUCUAAUUUUUCAUGGAUGAGUAAUCAAUCAAUAAAUAAUACUAUUACAUCAAACUUUUUAACUAUUUGUUCCUCUAUAUGUUAAUGAAACAUGCAUUAAGUGAUGUUUGUUUAUCGAUCGUAAUAUUUGGAUUUUAGAAUCACGGCGUGCAUAGUUGAACUCAAGAGAGAUGAAGUAAUGCUAUCCAUAUCAAAAUUUCUUUUACAGUCUUGUUUGUGUUUAGUUAAUGUCAUCCAUAUAUAUAGUCUUAUUUUGCAGACAUCUCGAUUAGUUAUAAUGUUCUCAAUAUUAAUAUAUCAAAGAACAUCGAUGAAAAUAACAAAGGAAAAUAAUCAAGAGAAUAGAGUUGAUGAGAAUAAGAAUGAUAGGGUGAGUGAAAAAAAAAAAUGAAGUAAGGUUGCAAUUAGACAUGUGAUUCGUCGAUAUUAUAUCACAGCCGCACAUAUUGCCAAUGCCAACACCAUUUUUUUUUUGUUUACAUGCCGACACCAUUUGAUUGUCACCAAUUUCCAAUUUUUUUACCAACGACAUGAUCACAUUUUAAAAUGUGAUCACCAUUCACAUGAUAUAUUAUGAAUAAUAGUUUUUUACAACACUCGCUACUUAGAAUACGAGAAAAGUCCUUUUCAAUAGAAAUACAGAAAAGUAAUUAUGAAAAAAAAAAGAAAUACAGAAAAGUAAAAUUGGAAAUGCAGUAUUACUUUCUUUAGUUUUUUAUGAGUAAUGCAUAAAACUCAUUCUCUAAUACGUUGGGUUAAAUAUGCUUUUAAUCCUAAUAAAUAUUUUAAAUUUUGUCAAAAAAAUAAAUGGUCAUUUUUCAUAUACUACUUGGUUUUUGCAUACAAAUUGGACCUUGGGGUUUUCAAAAUUUGCAAAUUGUGUCUAAAUUUCUCCAAAUCGUUCCUUAUUUUUAUAUUUUGAAAAUGGUUAUUCAUAUUUCGAAAAUUACAUAAAAAUAGUCCACCAAAAUCGAAGCAUCAUUACUUUUUUUACUCAAUACAAAACAUUUUUUAGAGAUAGAGACUUUUAGUUUUCAUUAAAACUUCAUGAAAUUUUCAACCGCAUUGUUGUAGAAAUGUUUGUUAUUAUGUGAUUUAGAAACAAAGAAUCUUUUUGACAUGCAUGAUCUUGUGUUAUGGGCAUUCGUAUUUAGUUUAAGAUUUUUCGAUAUUAUUUUUCAAAUACUACCUUAAACUAUAUUAAAAAGUCAUUUUUCAUACACUACUUAUUUUUGCAUACAUAUUAAACCUUGGAGUUUUCAAAAUUUGCAAAUUGUGUCUAAAUUUCUCAAAAUCAUUCCGUAUUUUUAUAUUUUAAAAAUGGUUACUCAAAUUUCAAAAACUACAUAAAAAUAGCCUACCAAAAUCAGAGCAUCUUUACGUUUUUUACUCUAUCCAAAAUAUUUUUUAACGAUGUAAAGACAUUAGUUAAAAGGUUCAAUUGUUUUAUAAUUUUAGUUUUCGUUAAACUUUCCCGCUCAAUUACCAAACUCACUCUUGUACAAAUUUUUGUUAUCAUGUGAUGUGAUUUUUAAAUGAAGACUUUUUUUGACAUGCAUUAUAUGCAUUCAUAUCUAGUUUAUGAUUUUUCGACAUUAUUUUUUAAAUACUACCUAAAACUAAAUUAAAAGUUCAUUUUUCAUAUACUACUUGAAACUUGCAUACAAGUUGGACCUUGACGUUUUCAAAAUUUGCACAUCGUGUCUAAAGUUUUUCAAAUCGGUCCUUAGUUUUUGAUAUUUCGAAAAAUUUUACUCAUAGUUUUGAAAAUUACAUAAAAAUAGCCCUCCAAAAUCAAAGCUUCAUUACUUUUUUAACGCUAUCCAAAAUAUUUUUAACAUAUAGAGACUUUAGUUAAAAGUUUCAACUGUUCUACAAUUGUAGUUUAAAUUAAGCUUUCCUAUAAAAUUUCAAACCACACUUUUGUAGAAAUAUUUGUUAUUAUGUGAUUUUUAUACAAAGAAUUUUUUUGACAUGCAUGAUCUAGUUAAAGAAUUUUCGUAAUUAUUUUUCAAAUACUACCUAAGACUAAAUUUAUUUUUGACAAACUCCUAAAAAAAUUCGAGUUUUCAAAAUUUGCAAAUUGUGUCCAAAUUUCUCCAAAUCAGUCUUUAUUUUUAUAUUUUGAAAAAGGUUACUCAUAUUUUGAAAAUUACAUAAAAAUAGACCUCCAAAAUCUGAGCAUCAUUACUUUUUUGACUCUCCAAAAUACUUUUUAGAGACUUAAACUUUGGUUAAAAGGUUCAACUGUUCUACAAUUUUUGUUGUCAUUAAACUUUCCCGCUAAAUUCUCAAACUCACUCUUGUACAAGUUUUUGUUAUUAUGUGAUUAUGUGAUUUAUAAUUAAAGACAUUUUUUGACAUGCAUUAUAUGCGGUCAUAUCUUAGUUUAUGAUUUUUCGACAUCAUUUUUCAAAUACUACCUAAACCUAAAUUAAAAGGUCUUUUUUCAUAUACUGCUUGAAACUUGCAUACAUGUUGGACCUUGGCGUUUUCAAAAUUUGCACAUCGUGUCUAAAGUUUUUCAAAUCGGUCCUUUUUUUUUUUUAUUUUGAAAAAGUUUACUCAUAGUUUUGAAAAUUACAUAAAAAUAACCCUCCAAAAUCAAAGCAUCAUUACUUUUUUAACGCUAUCCAAAAUAUUUUUAACAUAUUGAGACUUUAGUUAAAAGUUCCAACUGUUCUACAAUUUUAGUUUACAUUAAACUUUCCCAUAAAAUUUCAAACCACACUUUUGUAGAAAUUUUUGUUAUUAUGUGAUUUUUAAACAAAGAAUUUUUUUGACAUGCAUGAUCUAGUUUAAAAUUUUUUGAAAUUAUUUUUCAUACCUUUGAACUAAAGUUUUUGUGUCUCUAAAAAGUAUUUUGGAUAGAGUAAAAAAAGUAAUGAUGCUCAGAUUUUGGAGGGCUAUUUUUAUGUAAUUUUCAAAAUAUGAGUAACCUUUUUCAAAAUAUAAAAAUAAGAACCGAUUUGAAAAACUUUAGACACGAUGUGCAAAUUUUGAAAACGCCAAGGUCCAACUUGUAUACCAGUUUCAAGUAUAUGAAAAAUGAACUUUUAAUUUAGUUUUAGGUAGUAUUUAAAACAUAAUGUCGAAAAAUCAUAAACUAGAUAUGAAUAGAUAUAAUGCAUGUAAAAAAAAGUCUUAAUCUAUAAAUCAUAUAAUAACAAAAAUUUGUAAAUAGAGUAAAAAAUGUAAUGAUGCUCGGAUUUUGGAGGGCAAUUUUUAUGUAAUUUUCAAAACUAUGAGUAAACUUUUUCAAAAUAUAAAACAAUAAGGACCGAUCGUGAGUUUGGUAAUUUAGCGGGAAAGUUUAAUGAAAACUAAAAUUGAAGAAUAGUUGAACCUUUUAACUAAAGUUUUUCUGUCUCUAAAAAGUAUUUUGGAUAGAGUAAAAAAUGUAAUGAUGCUCAGAUUUUGGAGGGCAAUUUUUAUGUAAUUUUCAAAACUAUGUGUAAACCUUUUCAAAAUAUAAAAAUAAGGAAAUUUUGAAAACUCCAAAAUCCAAUUUGAAUGCAAAAACCAAGUAGUAUAUGAAAAAUGACCAUUUAAUUUAGUUUUUGGUGUUUGUCAAAAAGAAAAAUUAGUUUUAGGUAGUAUUUGAAAAAUAAUAUCUAAAAAUCUUAAACUAGAUAAAAAUGGCCAUAACACAAGAUCAUGCAUGUCAAAAAAUUCUUUAUUUAUAAAUAACAUAAUAACAAAAAUUUGUCCAAGAGUGAGUUUGGGAAUUUAGCGGGAAAGUUUAAUGAAAACAAAAAUUGUAGAACAGUUGAACCUUUUAACUAAAGUCUUUACAUCUCUAAAAAAUAUUUUGGAUAGAGUAAAAAACAAGGAACGAUUUUGUAAAAUUUAGACACAAUUUGCAAAUUUUGAAAUCUCCAAGGUCCAAUUUGUAUGCUAGUUUCAUGUAGUAUAUGAAAAAUGAAAUUUUAAUUUUGUUAUAGGUAGUAUUUGAAAAAUAAUGUCUAAAAAUCACAAACUAGAUUUUAUAGGAACUUAAAUAUUUAAAACUCUUUCUAUAUCUCAAAUGUUUAUGAAAAAAAUGCAUCAUACUUUAUUUAUAAAUCACAUAAUAACAAAAAGUCUAUAACAAUGUGUUCGGAAAUUUAUCGGGAAAGUUUAAUGAAUACUAGAAUUGUAGAACCGUUAAAUAUUUUAACUAAAGUCUCUGCAUCUAAAAAAUUGUUUGGAUCGGAUAGAGUAAAAAAGGUAAUCAUACUUUUGUUGGACUAUUUUUAUGUAACUUCGAAAAAAAAUGAAAAAAUCAGGACAGAUAUGCCAAAAUUUGUUAAAACUAUAAUUGUAGGUAAUACAAAACUAUUCUCUUCAUUUCAAUUUUUUUAAUACUUUGAUUAUGAGUAAGUGUUUCAAGAAUAAUUUACCUCAUAAUGUUUUAGCAGCCCGACGUUACUGCAACCGGUAGCUCCUCACGAACAAACAUUAGCUCCUCACGAACAAACAUCCAUUGUCCUUGAUCACACCUAAAAAACAUUGAAUACGCGUAAGUUAGAACUCCUCAGUUAUGAUAUGUUGCGGAGGGGCCGGAACCACUUGAUGUCAUAACUAACCCCCCGAACCAGAUUUAACUGCGGUGAAAAACCAAAAAAAACAGACAUAACAUUUAGGCAUUAUGACAACUAACUUAAACAUUAUCAUCAAAGAAUCAUAAGAAAUACUGUACAAGUUCAAACAUUGUUAUAUCUGUCCAACAAUUUCAAAUGAUAGUAACUUCAUAAUAUCUUUAAAACAGAACCUUUCCUCUUCAUUUCACAUCUAAAGAUACCUUAGGACAAAAUUAGCCUAAAAUCAUUAUACCCUUAAUCUAAAUCAAGUUAAUCAAUACUUACUUCUGAAAAAGAAACCAAAUGUAGAGUUGAAGUCCCUCUCCCCAUCUUGAUGAAAUCCACCAACCACCAAAGAAAUGAGAUCUCCCAUAAAACCAACUCUACAGUACCUAAAAUUAGCAACACAUGAAAAAUUCCUUUGUUUAAUGAAUGGAAUCUUUAAAUAAACCAAAAAGAAAACAAGAACUAGGAUCAUCGUGAUAAUGAGGGUUAGGGUUUUGUAAAAAAAAAUUGUGAAUAAUGAAAUUCUGAAAUCAAGAAAACAGAGUAGAACUCACUAUAAGUAAAGAAAUAGGUGAAAUGAACAUGAAAAAAAUCUCCGUCACGGCGUAGGUGGUUACGCGGUCGGGAAAAUAAAAUUGGUAGAUCGGAAAAAUGAAAAACUCGGUUUUGUAGAGGAGGAAGAGAGGAGGUUAGUGGUGGUGGUUAUGCGGUCAUAUGAUGUAGGAUGGCAAAUUUACGGUCUUGGGAAUAUAGGUAUGCGGUGAUGGCUGCCAUGGGAGAAAUUGUAGAAAUGGAAGGGAGAGAGGAAAGAGACAAAAGAAUAGCAGUGGUGAUGCGUUCUGUUUAGAGAGAGAGAGAGAGAGUAAAGAGUAAAAACUUGCUCCUUAUUAAGUUUAAACUUGAGUACUAUUUUAUUUUUACACUUUUACCCUUCUCUUUUUCUUUCUUUGUUUUUCUGGAUAAAAACCCU
rnacentral:lncRNA from 1 species